UUAAUAAAACAAACUUUUUGAAUGUUGUUUUAAGUUGAUGACGUACUUCCGUAGCCUCGCGCAUGCGCAGACUUCCGGUGCGGCUCGCGCACUGACGUGCUUCCUUCCGGGAGCAGAAGCUGUGGUUCAGUUUUGACAGUUAAACCGGUUCUGGUCCGAACCCGGAGACUUUUGUUGCUGUUUGCUGUAAAGAGUGAGUCGAUCGAUGGCGGGAGAAGAUCUCAUGUGACCGUUCUUCAGGAACUCUUCUGUGUCGGACUGACGGUUCCUGUUUCUACAAUGAUAACGGUAAAAAUGUCGCUCUGGGUUUCCAAUUGUGCUACGAGAAGGUUCCUGACCACACUAAAGGACGUUAGCUAGCUUGGCGUCGUCUCACUGCUUAGAAACAGAGAUGGACACCAGAGAAGAACCUCAGUGUGACAGAACAUGAUGAGGCAGAGCUGAAGGUUGCCAGUAUGAUGGAUGAGGACACACCCACACAACCAUAAAACCCGGGUCUCAACAAGCCUCAGUAGGUAUGACAGUCAAAAAGAAUCUGUUCUGUGGAUGCUGCAUUAGAACGAGGAAGUUGAGAGAGAAGAUGUCCAACUGAGCAGAGACAAAACGAUAGCAGGGGGAAGGAAGUCUUCUCUGCAGGGGGGAAAUCAUCAUCACCAUCAUCGUCAUCAGGAGGCACUGACGACCCACCAUUCAGGAGUGCGAACAGCUUGUAUGAUAAAUCCAAGCAGUAAACUUCGAUGGUUUCUUUUGUCACCUUCCUGCUAGUCCCAAGCAGUUGCAGUUCCUUGACCGGCCACGUGAAGUUCCCAAACAGCGCACAUUUCCAUAGAUGUCUAUGUUAAAAUGCCCAACUUUAGAGCAGAUAUAAAGAUGUUUACAGCCUGGUACAAAAAACCCGAAACAGUUUUGAUCUCUGCAGCUAGUUUCCUCCAUGACAGCUGUGAAUUUUUUUCUAACUUCUUAGUUUAUGACAUUUUAAACAUAAAGUUUUGUAAAUUUGGGGGCGUGGUCUCUUUGAGUGACAGGGGCUGAGUCCAGCAGCUCCUGGUGUCAAUGUGGAGCCGCUUACCGUCGUGGAACCCAUCUGUUUGUUUCAUCUGGAGUAUUUUAUGACAAACACCUGGAAUAAUCUCAGAUGUCUCUGCUGUAAUAUUCACACUGAGUGAAGCGCUGUGGUACCGACGGUACCGACCCGCUCACCGUGGUCCGCGUGUGCACACGCCAGUAUGCACAGUACAAAGCUGAUGUGACGUUGAG